AGAGUUUGAUCUGGCUCAGGAUGAACGCUAGCGGCAGGCCUAAUACAUCAAGUCGAACGGAUAUGAGGACUUCGGUUCUCAUGUUAGUGGCGCACGGGUGCGUAACGCGUAUGCAACCUACCUUUUACUGGGGGAUAGCCCGGAGAAAUCCGGAUUAAUACCGCAUAACACUAUUUGAGGGCAUCCUCUGGAUAGUUAAAGAUUUAUUGGUAAAAGAUGGGCAUGCGUGCCAUUAGCUAGUUGGUGGUGUAACGGACCACCAAGGCGACGAUGGCUAGGGGUUCUGAGAGGAUGAUCCCCCCACACUGGUACUGAGAUACGGACCAGACUCCUACGGGAGGCAGCAGUAGGGAAUAUUGGGGCAAUGGACGCAAGUCUGACCCAGCCAUGCCGCGUGCAGGAUGAAAGGCCUUUCUGGGGUUGUAAACUGCUUUUAUCUAGGAAGAAAAAACCCUUGCGAGGGGAACUGACGGGUACUAGGUGAAUAAGCACCGGCUAACUCCGUGCCAGCAGCCGCGGUAAAUACGGAGGGCGCAAGCGUUGUCCGGAUUUAUUGGGUUUAAAGGGUGCGUAGGCGGCCCGUUAAGUCCGUGGUGAAAGCCAACAGCUCAACUGUUGAACUGCCAUGGAUACUGACGGGCUUGAGUACAGACGAGGUAGGCGGAAUGGAUGGUGUAGCGGUGAAAUGCAUAGAUACCAUCCAGAACACCGAUUGCGUAGGCAGCUUACUAGGCUGUAACUGACGCUGAGGCACGAAAGCGUGGGGAGCGAACAGGAUUAGAUACCCUAGUAGUCC
rnacentral:rRNA from 1 species